GAUGAAGAACGUAGCGAAACGCGAUAAGUAAUGUGAAUUGCAGAAUCCAGUGAAUCAUCGAACCUUUGAACGCACAUUGCGCCCGCCAGCAUUCUGGCGGGCAUGCCUGUUCGAGCGUCAUUUCAACCCUCGACCUCCCCUUGGGGAGGUCGGCGUUGGGGACCGGCAGCACACCGCCGGCCCUGAAAUGGAGUGGCGGCCCGUCCGCGGCGACCUCUGCGCAGUAAUACAGCUCGCACCGGGACCCCGACGCGGCCACGCCGUAAAACACCCAACUUCUGAACGUUGACCUCGAAUCAGGUAGGACUACCCGCUGAACUUAAGCAUAUCAAUAAGCGGAGGA
rnacentral:misc_RNA from 1 species